UUGCUUACUCCCUGUAAACAACGCUGAAGUCGUCCUUCUCCCUCCCCUUUUUUCCUUUCCGUGGCCUUCACCGUCCAGCGAACAUACAGAGGAGUCCGGUCCUAGAAGAGUAAACUUGAUCUGCUUGACAGCCAUUGAAAGAAUUUCAUCUCUGUUCUCUGCCUGAUUGCCUUGGCACAGCUGCCCCUCUGGCACUCUUCAGAUGGGAAGAAGUUGCUGCGGCUGGGGUCGAAGAGGUUGAUGCCUG